rnacentral:lncRNA from 10 species
UGUUGUUUGAGAUACCCUGAUUGGACAUCAUGAUGUGCAGGAACAAGCAUGAUGUCAGGAAAAGAAAACUUCAGUUAGAAACAAUUUUACUCCAUUGAGGACUAGUUGCUCUCCUGCACAUGAUGACAGGAGUAAAAUAUAAUUGACUUGUCAGAAGGUAUCCGGUUGGCCCCAGAAGGUAUAGUAUCAUCUCAGGAGAUCAAGAGUGUGUGUGUUGGUAGGUGUCAUCAGUGGAGGGCUGGUGGUUGGAAGUUAGAGGAGUAGCUGUUUAUGAAUUCUAGACCUGGACAGUCUUUGUCAUUAAGUUGAUAUGUGACCCCAUGGAUGCAAACAGGUUGAAGACAAGAGCUCUCUUUAAUGGAACCUGAACAGUGCCUAACUCCUGUAGAUAUUCACUGAAUGUUAAAUAACAACAGUGAUCAUGUAAUAAUGAUGCCCAAUUCACUUGGGAGAGAAUACCAAAUAGCUUGGAAUUUUCCUGUUACUGCCAGCAUGGCCUGAGAGCAUCCUGAGGUCACAGUGUUUGGACACCGCAUGAACAUGCCAAUUUCCUGUGUUGUAAUAUUUUUAUGCACUUUAAGAAGACCACCAGAAACAGCAGAGUGAGUGAAUGACUGAGGCGCAUAUUGGACAAAAAUCACUUAUCCAAGACCACGUUACUACAACCCCAGGGCACAGAAGCUAAGUCUUCCUAUUGUACUGAACUCAGUUGACUGGAAUUUGUUCAGGAAAGCAUGAAGUCAAAUGGAAGCUAGUCCGUGACUGGAUUCAUCUUUUGGUAAAAAACGAAGAGGAGACCCCAUAUCCUGGAGGUUCUUGCUUAACCCUGUCCCUAAUAAGACCUAACUUUAUGAGUCUUCUCCUUAGAGGCAGUCCUAGGGUAAGAGUGAUUAUUCCUGUGAGCCUUGUAGGUACUUUCGAAUCAAGGAAAUUAGUAGUUGAUUGCUAAUUAAUUCAGUAUUUAAUGAAUUUAAGUACCUAGGCAAUGAGGCCACAAUAGCAAAUAAGACACAGACCUGUUUUCAAAAAGUAGCCUGUAAAUAAGAUAUUUUUUUCUGCCAUGGUGGCAAAGGCAUGACUAUGGUGAUGAACAUUCAUAGGCUCACCUUCUAGCUCUGUUGUAUGUUAACUGUGUGAACUUGGGUCAAGUUAUGAAAACUCUAAGAACUCUCAAAACUCCUGAUCUGUUUUAACAUGAAAGUAAAGAUAUCUAAUUGAAUUGUUGUGAAACUUAAAUGUAAUGUGACAUCCAAAGAAUGUAGCCCAAAGUUGGAUUUCAGUAAGUGAUAAAUAGAAGUAUUUAAACAUGGGUAUGGUAUGUUCUGUAACAGAAGAAUGUCUAUGUGCUGGGGAUACCUAGAGACAGUGAAAAUUCUGUCUGGCCUGCGAAUUAUAAUAAAAUGACUCUUUAAAGUCAAUGAGUCUUAAUAUUUUCUCACAUCUACUUUUCUUUUUCUUUCUUUUUUUUCUUUUCUUUUUUUUUUUUUUUUUUUUUUUGAGAUGGAGUCUCACUCUGUCACCCAGGCUGGAGUGCAGUGGCACAAUCUGGGCUCACUGCAACCUCUGCCUCCCAGGUUCAAGCAAUUCUCCCACCUCAGACUCCCGAGUAGCUGGGAUUACAGGUACACACCACCAUGCCUGGCUAAUUUUUGUAUUUUUAGUAGAGACGGGGUUUUACUAUGUUGGCCAGGCUGGUCAUGAACUCCUGACCUCAGUUGAUCCACCCACCUUGGCCUCUGAAAGUGCUGGGAUUACAGGCCUGAGCCACCGCGCCCAGCCUCACGUCUACUUUUUAAGAUCAAACGCCAAAUCUUUGCCACAUCGAAUUUCUGGUUGAGUUACAUUUGGUAGUGGGUAUGAGAGGUAGUAUGGGAGGGAAGUCUUGAGUCUAGAGACUUCCAGAACAUUCAUAGUCCUCUAUAUUUCUGUCCCACUCUUGCUCUGAAGUAGGAGGAAACAUCUUUCCUUGACAUUGGCCUCUGGUUCACACACUGAUUCAAUUUUUGUCCAUGCUUUUUGGCAUAUCUCAUUUAAUUUUCACAAUUCUGAAAUGUAGAAAUUAUACUAUUUUUUACAGGUAUAAAAGGGU